rnacentral:sRNA from 2 species
UGUAUCUGAGGUCUGACGAGGAUGAGAACCUCCGGGGGCAAGAGGUUCGACCCGAGCGAAGCGAGAGAACGUUGCGCCAGCAACGGCCCGCAGGGCGAGCCACGCAGUGGCGAGUCAUCCUCUAUCACCGACCA